GUUCUCUGUCCAUCUCCCCUUCUCCUUGUGCCCUCCAUCUUUCCCAGCAUCAGGGUCUUUUCCAGGGAGUCUUCUCUUCUCAUGAGGUGGCCAAAGUAUUGGAGCCUCAGCUUCACGAUCUGUCCUUCCAGUGAGCACUCACGGCUGAUUUCCUUAAGAAUGGAUGCGUUUGAUCUUCUUGAAGUCCAUGGGACUCUCAAGAGUCUCCUCCAGCACCAUAAUUCAAAAGCAUCAAUUCUUCGGCGACCAGCCUUCUUGAUGGUCCAGCUCUCACUUCCAUACAUCACUACUGGGAAAACCAUGGCUUUAACUAUACGGACCUUUGUUGGCAAGGUGAUGUCUCGGCUGUUUAAGAUGCUGCCUAGGUUUGCCAUCACCUUUCUCCCAAGGAGCAGGCGUCUUUUAAUUUCGUGACUGCUGUCACCAUCUACAGUGAUCAUGGAGCCCAAGAAAGUAAAAUCUCUCACUGCCUCCAUUUCUUCCCCUUCUAUUUGCCAGGAGGUGAUGGGCCCACUAGAGAAUAACAUUUAUAUGAGAUUUGUGCAGGCUUUGGAGUAUUGCACACCGCUUAGGAAGCUGUCUUAUUCUAGCAGGAAAGAGUAUUUGCCUACCUUGGCGGCUGCCAGGAGAUUGGUUUGCUUGAGUUCUCCCAGCUCCUACGCCACCUGGUUGGCAAUCUGUGUGUGUUUGGCUUGUGAGAAUGCAAGUUGUGUGGGCUUGCUGCGCCCUGGUUUAAGCGCACUUAGUGGACCAUCACUUUCCCCAUUUUUUUGUUUUUAUGAAAAAGGCUCUGCCUGCUGUCACAUCCCUGCUGUAUCUCAGAGGAAAGAGCAGCCAGCUUCAAUGCGCCUCACAGUGAUGAGUGAAGAAGAGUCUUUUUCAUGAAGUGUGCUGCGAGAUGCCAGGAGCACAGCUAAACCACUUUCGCUCAGCUUUCCGUGCUCUCAGUAGUGGCUCAACCACAGCCUUGCCUUGAACACAGACUUUUUGUUUUUAACAACCAGGGUGGGGUGGAAAUAUUUGCUUUCCAUUGCAGACAUCUUUCUUAACUCCCUGGAAAGAGAAGCUGGAGGAAUUCUUUUUCAGUGAAUUUUGAUGGCCUGAUCACAAACUCCUGGGCUCUUAUCUCCUGGGCAACGGUCCUUUGGAUUUUGCACUUCUCCAAAUUUUGCAACUGAUUUACAACUCCCCCCAAAAGACCAAAAAUGUUUGGAAGUGUUUGCAUUGGGAUAAUAUUUUGUGAUAAAAUAUUUAUUCAUAAGUAUUUAAAUGCGAAUCCUCAAUGUUUUUGCAGAUUUAAUAAAACAGAUUAAUGAGGAAACAGGACAAAAAGGAGCUAACAAACCCAAGGUUCACAUGUGACAUGGAAUGAACUGAUCAACCCGUCCCUACGCCUGCACAAUACCUCUCUUCCCCUCCAACUUUAUACUGGAUACAACAUACAUUGAACGUAAUUAAUCUAUAGAAAAGUGACAAAGUUUGAGGAAGAGUGGAGUAAAUUCGUUGCGUACAUACGAAAUAACUGCAGAAGUUUAAAAGUUGUAGCAGGGCUGACAUAAAUCUAGUGAUGUAUAUAGAAUGUAAUUAAGAAACUGCAAGAGUGGAUGUAAGGUGGGAAAACCGAAGCAGGGAAGGAGGGAAGUCCGGGCACAAAACUGCGCAAAGUAAAUAAGAAGACGAAAAAGGUCGAUUGUAAAAGGCAAGUUUUAUUUAAUUUUGUUAUGUUUUAUUUAAUUUUGUUAUGCUUGUGAAAAUCAAUAAAAAGUAUUUUUUUUAAAAAAUCUAUAGAAAAGACUGUACAUUGCGGGGUGGUGUGUGUGAGAGAGAGAGAGAGAGAUUGCACGUUCUUAUGUAAUCCAAGAAUUUUUUAAAUAAAAAUUAUUUCAAACAAAAUAAAGAGAACGUGUUAGCUGCCUUCCCUGGAUGAGAUGACAAGUCCGUCUAGUCCAUCCUCUCUCUCCCGUCUCACAAGUCAGAUGUGCUUCCAACUCUUGCAAGCCAGACCAUGCAAACAUCCAGACCGCUGGGGUGUCUUUGCACCUUGUAGGUCAGGAAAUAUUGUCAGUUACCAGAGCUAGGUGGAAACCUGUGCUUCCUCCCCAUACUGUGUUCAUUGUUCUCUGAGCCUCGAAACCCUCCUCAUGCCCAGUCAGUUUUCCUCCCUCUUGCAUGGGGGCCUGAAAGCCUCGAUUCACCUGGUGAUGUGCAGCCUUGAGUGGCAUUUAUCUUGCAGUGGCUGCAGCCUCCUCAUCCCACAGGAAGAGAUGUCGAUGCUGAUCAGUCACAUCCAUUUUUUACCCCCAGCAAAGGCCUUUUCCCAUUCUCCUCUCCCCCCCUUUUGCUCAGGAUUUGAAGAAGGCCAUCGGACUGAACUUGUGCUGUAUCCCUUCGCCACAAGCCCACCAGCCCCUCAUUAGUAUUCUCCACAUUACACACCGGCUAAAUCUGCCCUUGCGUUUCGAUCACUGCUGUUUGCAAUUACAUGCGCGCACCAGCGAAUGUGAGCAUGGCUUGUGUGCUUUGCCUUUCUGCCUUUGAUUGCGGAGAAUUAUAUGUUGCACAGUUGUGUGUGAGGCCGAAUAAUUGUAUAUGGUUUUGCGCAGAUGAUCCCUGUGUAAACAUAUGUAGGUACAUAGCCCACUGAUGUUGGUGUAUAAUUUUCAUGUGUAAUUGGAAUGCAUGCAAUCUAUGGAAAGCAUGAUGUAUCAAAUUAAGAGUCGUUACCAAGAUUAGAUGAUGGGGGGGGGCCGCAGUGCAGAAGUAGGUGAAGGGAGGCAGAAAGUCUUGAGCUUAAACUCUGGCAUCUUGAAAGGGUAGGACAUCAGCUAGCAAGGCUAGCAAAGACCCUUCAAGGAGACUUGGACUAUGGCGGGUCUGUGCCAAUACCAGAGUCAGCAAUUCUGGGCUGGAGAGACCAAUCGCCUGACACUAUAAGGGAGAUUCAUGGGUCUAUUUCUGGAUGAGAGUGCAUUUGGUGGCAGCUCGUGUUGCCUCUGGAGAGCUGUGUCCAGUUCUGGGUGAAGUGUUGGUCAGCUGGAGUGGACUUAGAGGAGGGCAACGAGGAAUGGCGAGAACUUUGCAGAAGUGGCCAGGGAGGCAGUGCAGGUCAAUCUCAGUUGUUCUCCUGGCUUUCCAACACAACACUGAAGGAGAGGAGAUAUUAUUGUUAUUUUAUUUAUACCCUGCCCAUCUGGCUGGGUUUCCCCAGCUACUAUGAGCGGCUCCCAACAGAAUAUUAAAAACAUAAUAAAACAUCAAACAUUAAAAACUUCCCUAAACAGGGUUGCCUUCAGAUGUCUUCUAAAAGUCAGAUAGUUCUUUGUUUCCUUGACAUCUGGUGGGAGGGCGUUCCACAGGGCGGGUGCCACUACCGAGAAGGCCCUCUGCCUGGUUCCCUGUAACUUCACUUCUCGCAGUGGGGGAACUGCCAGAAGGCCCUCGGAGCUGGACCUCAGUGUCUGGGCUGAACGAUGGGGGUGGAGACGCUCCUUCAGGUGUACUGGGCUGAGGCCGUUUAGGGCUUUAAAGGUGAGUAUCAACACUUUGAAUUGUGCUCAGAAACGUCCUGAGAUAGAGAGAAGUCGUGAUUCCAGCUGGCCUUUUGGAGAAACCUCCCAAGAGCAUAGGCUAAUCCACUCUUCCAUUUGUCCUAUUAUUUCUAAACUUAGAGGUUUUUACUUUUUUCAGUUUACUGCUGAGUCGGAAGAAGCGUCAAUCCACAAGCAUUUUGUUCUGAUUCAGCAGGAAACAUCCUGGGGAAAGCAGCAGGCUGAACGAAAACUGUCUUGGAUCCAUGGACAGUUCCAAGAUCCCUUCCAACUCUAUAAAGUCUGGUUAGAAUAAUCCACAGAUGUAACAGGUUGGGGCCAAUGAGAGCUGUACUCCUACAAUGUCUGGAAGGGCACGUUGACUAUUUCUGGCGGAGCUUGUGUACUGUAUUUGGUAUAAUGCAGCUCGCUCUGUUUCCAACCGUCUGGAGUGAAAUAAAUGUGGCAUUUAACCUUCACAUCUAACAUCUGGCAGAAUCAAAUUUUACUAUACAGUUGUACUUUGGUUUUUAAACAGAAUGUGUUCCGGAAGUCCAUUUGACUUCAGAAACAUUCAGAAACGAAGGCGCGGCUUCCGAUUGGCUGCAGGAGCCAAUUGGAAGUCGCACCAGACAUUCAGCUUCCAAGGCAGAGUUUGCGAACCAGAACACCUACUUCCAGGUUUGCGAUGUUCGAGUUCCGAGUUGUUCAUGAACUAAGCUGUUCGAAAACCAAGGUACGACUGUACUCAGUCACAGCUACCUGUUAAACAGGAGAUAAAACAUUGCAGUUGUGCAAUCACUAAUAUAAUGAAUUGUAUAGCAUCUAGAUCAAGGGAAGUAAUAGUGCCACUGUAUUCUGCUCUGGUCUGACCUCACCUGGAGUACUGUGUCCAGUUCUGGGCACCACAGUUCAAGAAGGACACUGACAAACUGGAACGUGUCCAGAGGAGGGCAACCAAAAUGGUCAAACGAUGCCUUAUGAGGAACGGCUAAGGGAGCUGGGCAUGUUUAGCCUGGAGAAGAGGAGGUUAAGGGGUGAUAUGAUAGCCAUGUUCAAAUAUAUAAAAGGAUGUCACAUAGAGGAGGGAGAAAGGUUGUUUUCUGCUGCUCCAGAGAAGCGGACACAGAGCAAUGGAUCCAAACUACAAGAAAGAAGAUUCCACCUAAACAUUAGGAAGAACUUCCUGACAGUAAGAGCUGUUCGACAGUGGAAUUUGCUGCCAAGGAGUGUGGUGGAGUCUCCUUCUUUGGAGGUCUUUAAGCAGAGGCUUGACAACCAUAUGUCAGGAGUGCUCUGAUGGUGUUUCCUGCUUGGCAGGGGGUUGGACUCGAGGGCCCUUGUGGUCUCUUCCAACUCUAUGAUUCUAUGAUUCUAUAAAAUGAGCUAAUAUGGGAGAUACAAAAUAAUAAUUAAAAAAGCAGAACUGCACUUAAACAUAGAGAAUCUCUUUGUGAAUCUUUGCAAUUGGUUGAUAAGAGAAAAUAAGAUGGUAAUCUGGUUAUUCUUUUGACCAUAUCAGCCAGAAAGCCGGAUCCCAUACAAAAGUCUUUCCUGGGUGUUUUAGUAAGCCAGGAGUGAAUUAUCUAUUUUGCUCUUUUCUGGAAAUGUUUCCUAUAGAAAGGGAAGGCAUUAAAGCUUCUGUCCCCGCAGAGACAAAACCAUUCUUUAUAGGAAAUGCAGGAGGUGGAGUAACAGCCACCCAGCACAGUGGAAGGAAAGCAAUUAAAUCUUGCUCCACAAAGAUCAGUGGAUAUUUUGGAACAGUCAGGUUAUCCGAAUAAUUGGCAUGGCCUUUUAAAAAGUCAAUAGACAACCCAGGAUGAAUUGGAGAGCAAGUUUUACAAGCCGCAGUCAGAGUGCUGUACAUCAAUAUCCUUAAUCCAAAGAUUAAGCAUGGAUUUUUUCCUGACCAUGACCCCACCUCCCAUGCGCCAAUUUUGACCGGUGGGUGGGACAACCUGACUGUCAAUCAGAGAAAACCGAGGAGCGAUAGCAUAGCCGUCUUCAAACAUCUGAAGGGUUGUCACAUGGAUGAUGGAGCAAGCUUGUUGAACAGUGGAACAAGCUAUUUCAGAUAGCCUCUCCUUUGGAGCUCUUUAAGUAGAAGUUAGGUGUUGGUGUAAUUUAGAAAUAUGGGUGGAAUUAUUCCUAAAUUCUUGGGUGAUGUCUUGAGCAGCCCAUCCCUCCCCAACUGGAUUCUGUUCAGCAAAAAGACCCAACUGCACGGGUGUCAGGAAUAAAUCGCAGGGAGUGUUGGGAUGCUGCCGGGAGACGGGGGCAAUUGGCAGGCCCCCAGCUGGCUCCAGCCACCGGCCGGCAGUCGGGCGAAACUCCGGAUUUCGGAACAGCAUCAAAACUGCGACUCAAGCCUCAGAAACCUUUAGAGACCGAGCACGCAAUCCAGCAGAGAUAAGAACUCUUUGCAGCAGAAGUAGCGGACAGAGACAUGUGUAAGCAUAUUUACAGCAUUUAUUCAGCAGCAGGACAAAGGAAAAACAUGUCUGCUUCCCUUCGUGUUCAAGCAAAACAGCAGCAAAGCAAAAGCAACAUACAAUGGAAGUUCCCAGCAGACUGUGCUGGAAGUAAACAGACAUGUGACAUACAACAACUCCACAUGCCUGUUCUAAAGGUGGAACGGAACUGUAUCCUAACAGGGAGUAGGUGAACUCUUUGUUAGUAGAAACAUGGUCAGCUCAGGAGCGCCAGGCUUCACGAGUAUCUCAACUCUUCUCGGUAGGUCUUGCCCCUAUGAGGCAGUUGUGGAGACUGAAGUUCCCUGCCUCCCCAGAGCUGCCUAGGUCUUCUCUUCUCCAGAGCCCUUCCCAAGCAGUCUGAGACUCUGUUGACAUUCUUGUCUCUGCUCCCCCCCUCUUCAUACCUCUUCUGGUCCUGAGAGACCAGCGGGGAGGGGAGCUGGUUGCAGCAGGAGGGGAAGACUCCCUGGCUUCUUCAGCUGCCUGACUCAUCUCUGCUUCUUGGCCUCCCUCCUCUCUGGAUUUGUGUAGGGUUUACUCCUUAGCCUAUAGAUUAAUCCAGUCACGAGGGCCUAACAUCUUACCUAGACUGGCCCUUUGACAUAUAGAGAUUAGUUCCGUUUUUCUCAAUGUCGCUUGUAGGGAAGAUCAAGGGUGGUCAACAAGGUGACUUCAAUAUGGACUACAACUCCCAGCAACUGCAGCCAACCUGGCCUGUAGUCAGGGAUGAUGGGAUUUGUAGUCCUACAACAUCUGGCACGUUGCAUAGCCCAGUGCAGCUUUCAACCUUACGCUGGGCAAGUUAUAGGAAUAUCCCAGCAAUAAUGUUGGCUGCCGUUCUUCCAUGCGAAGGAGACGGGGAGAAUCUGGAGGAAAGGCAAACCUCGCUGGUAAGAGGACGGUGCCUUUUUAUUUUUAUUUUUUGAGAAACAGCUCUUUAAAUGGCAUUUGCAUUUGUAGAAACUCAGGCACCGCAAGCGAAGUAGCUUCCAAAUGAGGCGAGAUGCUUCAUUGAAUGUCAUUUCUCCGUGAUAAUUCCAAUUGCUGUUUGGUACAUGUCAUUAGCUGUCAGUAAUAAAUUUACAUAGCGGUGGGGGGGGAUGACAAAUGACAACUGCCGAUGCAGGUGGCACGCCAACAGGGGCAGAAAUUAAUACGUGUGUGUGUGUGUGUGUGUGUGUGUGUCUGUCUGUCUGUCUUCUGAAUGCAGAUAUGACAUCAAAGCGGAGUUGGAGUGGAAAUUAAACUGUAGGGUUGGUUUCUCUGGGUUUUUCCUGCCGUGCUGAAAAAGGCUUCUCCCCUUUCAAGCUACUUUCGCACUGCUUGAGAAAACAUUUGCCUGCUUGCUUGGACCACCGCCUUGCCAACGUGGGGAUCCAGGGCACAGUCCUUCAAUGGCUGCGCUCGUUUCUCUCCGGUCGGGGACAGAGGGUGGCGCUUGGGGGGGAAUUGUCAUCGCGCCACUCCUUGGUGUGUGGAGUCCCUCAGGGUGCGAUUCUCCCCCUGAUGCUUUUCAACAUCUUUAUGCGCCCCCUCGCCCAGCUUGUCCGGAGUUUUGGGCUGGGUUGCCAUCAGUAUGCUGAUGACACCCAACUCUAUCUGUUGAUGGAUGGCCAUCCUGACUCGGCCCCAGACACACUGACCAGAUGUUUGGAAGCUGUGGGUGGAUGGUUAUGUGGGAGCCGGUUGAAGCUAAAUCCUUCGAAGACAGAGGUCCUGUGGCUGGGACGGGACGAUAUGGGAUUGGGGGGGCAACUCCCAUCUCUUGCGGGGGCGCAAUUAGUGCCAGCACCGUCCGUUAAGAGUUUGGGUGUAAUCUUCGACACCUCUCUUUCCAUGGAGGCGCAGAUUGCAGCUACAACAAAGGCGGCAUUUUUCCAUCUCCGCCAAACUAAGCAGUUGGCUCCUUACCUCUCUCGCCCUGACCUAGCCACUGUGAUCCAUGCGACGGUCACCUCCAGACUGGAUUAUUGUAACUCGCUCUACGUGGGGCUGCCCUUGAGACUGACCCAGAAACUCCAGCGGGUGCAGAAUGCCGCGGCGAGACUCCUUACGGGGUCUUCGCUGUGAGAUCACAUUCACCCGGUGCUAUACCAGCUGCACUGGCUCCCGGUGGAGUACAGGAUCAGGUUUAAGGUGCUGGUUUUAACCUUUAAAGCCCUAUACGGCCUAGGACCCUCGUACCUACGGGACCGCCUCUCCUGGUAUGCCCCACAGAGAAAUUUGCGGUCUUCAAAUAAAAACAUCUUGAAGGUCCCAGGCCACAGAGAAGUUAGGCUGGCCUCAACUAGAGCCAGGGCUUUUUGGCCGUGGCUCCGAUCUGGUGGAACACUCUGUCACAAGAGACCAGGGCCCUGCGGGACUUGACAUCUUUCCGCAGGGCCUGCAAGACAGAGCUGUUCCACCAGGCCUUUGGCCAGGGCACAGCCUGACUCCCUCCCUCGGCAAUCUUCGCGGAGCUCUGGCCCAAUGGUUGCCAGUGGCUUGAAUUAAUUAAUUUUAUAAUGAAUGAUUUUAGAGUGUUGUUUGUGCUGUACUUUUGUACUGUUUUAUUGUUGUUAGCCGCCCUGAGCCCGGCUUCGGCUGGGGAGGGCGGGAUAUAAAUAAAAUUUAUUAUUAUUAUUAUUAUUAUUAUUAUUAUUAACCUAAGAUCUGGUUAACCUGCUAGAUAACUUGGCAAUCUGCCGGUUAUUUGGUCUGAUGCAGCAGAUCACCAGGACCACCUAGGCGGCCUGCAGGGGCUAACAAGAUUCCCUUACAGGAAGCCUUCAGGCAGGAACCAAGUGCAACAAGCCCCUCCCAGCUUGGGAUUCCCAGUGACUGACAUCCAGGUGCAUCUUGCCUCCAGCAGUGGAAGUGGAACAUAGCCAUUGUGGCUAGCGGCCACUCCAAACCAUGGGUAGGCAAACUAAGGCCCGGGGGCCGGAUCUGGUCCAAUAGCCUUCUAAAUCCAGCUCACGGAUGGUCCGGGAAUCAGCAUGUUUUUACAUGAGUAGAAUGUGUCCUUUUAUUUAAAAUGCAUCUCUGGGUUAUUUGUGGGGCCUGCCUGGUGUUUUUACAUGAGUAGAAUGUGUGUUUUUAUUUAAAAUGCAUCUCCGGGUUAUUUGUGGGGCCUGCCUGGUGUUUUUACAUGAGUAGAAUGUGUGUUUUUAUUUAAAAUGCAUCUCCGGGUUAUUUGUGGGGCCUGCCUGGUGUUUUUACAUGAGUAGAAUGUGUGUUUUUAUUUAAAAUGCAUCUCCGGGUUAUUUGUGGGGCCUGCCUGGUGUUUUUACAUGAGUAGAAUGUGUGUUUUUAUUUAAAAUGCAUCUCCGGGUUAUUUGUGGGGCCUGCCUGGUGUUUUUACAUGAGUAGAAUGUGUGUUUUUAUUUAAAAUGCAUCUCCGGGUUAUUUGUGGGGCCUGCCUGGUGUUUUUACAUGAGUAGAAUAUGUGUUUUUAUUUAAAAUGCAUCUCCGGGUUAUUUGUGGGGCAUAGGAAUUCAUUCAUUAUUAUUUUUUCAACAUAUAGUCUGGCCCACCACAAGGUCUGAGGGAUAGUGGACCAGCCUCCUGCUGAAAAAGUUUGCUGACCCCUCCUCCAAACUCUCUUUUAAAACCAUCCAAGUUGGUGGCUUCAGUCCCUCUCGCGGGAGCGAGUUUUAUGCGCUGUGCAAAGAAGUCCUUUCGUUCGUUUGUCUUCAAAUCAUCCCAACGCUCAGCUUCGUUGGGCGGCCUCGAGUUCAAAUGCUGAGAGAGACAGACAAAAGCUUCCCUCAACCCACUUUCUGCACCCCAUGCAAAAUCAUAUCCCCCCCCAUUUAAAUCUGCAGUUUUAUAUAUAAAUUACCAUAUACGAAUGUAAUGCAGAUGUGUGUGUGUCCCUUUUUGACUUUUGUUCCAUGACGCAUUUGCUCCUGCAUUUUGGGGGGUUGGACUAGAUGACCCCUGGGGUCCCUUCCAAAUCUACAAUUCUAUGCUUCCAUAGUAUUUCUAACAGUGGGUAAGUGGGUGCUAUUGACAUUAGCAGACCAUACAUUCAAAACACAUUUGUAAGCCUCUCAUUGCCAACAAAGGUCCGUAUAGUUAAAGCCAUGGUUUUCCCAGUAGUGAUGUAUGGAAGUGAGAGCUGGACCAUAAAGAAGGCUGAUCGCCGAAGAAUUGAUGCUUUUGAAUUAUGGUGCUGGAGGAGACUCUUGAGAGUCCCAUGGACUGCAAGAAGAUCAAACGCAUCCAUUCUGGAGGAAAUCAGCCCUGAGUGCUCACUGGAAGGACAGAUCGUGAAGCUAAGGCUCCAGGACUUUGGCCACCUCAUGAGAAGAGAAGACUCCUUGGAAAAGACCCUGAUGUUGGGAAAGAUUGAGGGCACAAGGAGAAGGGGACGACAGAGGACAAGAUGGUUGGACAGUGUUCUUGAAGCUAUGAACAUGUGUUUGACCAAACUGCAGGAGACAGUGGAAGACAGAAGUGCCUGGCGUGCUCUGGUCCAUGGGGUCACGAAGAGUCGGACACGACUAAACGACUAAACAACAACAAGCCUCUCAUAUGCUGUAAGCUGCCCAGAGCGGCUGGGAAAACCCAGCCAGAUGGGUGGGGGUAUAUCUAAUAAAAUUAUUAUUAUUAUUAUUAUUAUUAUUAUUAUUAUUAUUAUUUUCUCCUCUUCCUUCUUAACCCCCCCCCAAAAAAAAACACACACACACCAGUUAACUGUAGUUUGUGAAGGGGUGCUGUGAACCAUAGUUCUGCAAAGGGCAAAACUACAUCUCCCAAGAUUCUUGAGGGGGUGGGUUCCUUUAAAUGCAUUAUGUUUACACAGCCUUUGUGCCUGUUUUCAGUUACGAUGGAACAUUGCUCUGCAUCAAAAUCAGACAUAGCUGCUUUAGAGCUUAAUCCAAAAGGCAAGUCCGCCUUCUGCUCUGCGUUUUGCAUUAAGCUUUUGGAGAAGUCUGGCUGCAGUCGGUUUCCUUUUUCCUUGUGUCUCCUUUCGAUGCAAUUUCACAGCUUUCCCCGGGCCCUCGACCCACUGUUUAUGCAGUCUUGGCGGCUGCAUGUUCAGGCAACUGCCGGUAACCUUGGAGACUUGUCAAUGCGACGGGAGAGGAAGCUGGCUUCCCUCUCUGAAGCCCAGACAAGGGGCAGACAUUUGCCAUUAAAGGAGACCUUCCCGCAAUUUCUCUCUUAGUGUUCAGUAAAUGUUCCUGCCCUGCCAUUAGCAGAACACUCUCCAUCUUCUAAGCGGCUCUGUAUCUUCAUGUCAUUAAUUCACGUGGCAACCCUCUGUUGUUAAUCAGCUCCUAUCCCCCUUUUCCGUAAGCCUCUAAACUCAAAGGGAAACACAACAAAACCAAACAAAUGAAAGGAUUCAGCGAGCGAUUCAUAGCACAAGCUGUGUACACACCGUAUGUUUGAAGCACCCGAAAGAAUUCUGGGAACUUACCCCUCGCAGGGCUACAGUUCCUGGGAUUCUUAUGGGCAGUUGUGCGUUUUAAAUAUGCUUUAAAUGCAUGGAAAGAGCGCGAGAUCUUACCUCAUUCGCGCUUUCUGAAACGAGACAAAAGUCAAAACACAGCCACCUUUUUGAAAUUUGCACUUUUUGAAAUUUCGCGGUGCAGUUUCCCAGCAUAUAAUAUGCAUAUAAUGGGGGGGAAGCAUAUACAAAUGCAUAUAUUAGUGGAAAUAAUAUGAAGUAAGGCUCCAUGAUCACUGCAGAUGGUGACAGCAGUCACGAAAUUAAAAGACGCCUGCUCCUUUGGAGAAAAGCAAUGACAAACCUAGACAGCAUCUUGAAAAGCAGAGACAUCACCUUGCCAACAAAGGUCCAUACAGUUAAAGCCAUGGUUUUCCCAGUAGUGAUGUAUGGAAGUGAGAGCUGGACCAUAAAGAAGGCUGAUCGCCGAAGAAUUGAUGCUUUUGAAUUAUGGUGCUGGAGGAGACUCUUGAGAGUCCCAUGGACUGCAAGAAGAUCAAACGCAUCCAUUCUGGAGGAAAUCAGCCCUGAGUGCUCACUGGAAGGACAGAUCCUGAAGCUGAGGCUCCAAUACUUUGGCCACCUCAUGAGAAGAGAAGACUCCCUGGAAAAGACCCUGAUGUUGGGAAAGAUGGAGGGCACAAGGAGAAGGGGACGACAGAGGACGAGAUGGUGGGACAGUGUUCUCGAAGCUACCAGCAUGAGUUUGACCAAACUGAGGGAGGCAGUGGAAGACAGGAGUGCCUGGCGUGCUCUGGUCCAGGGGGUCACGAAGAGUCGGACACGACUAAACAACAAGAAUAUAAGAAAUAUAAGAGGAGCCCUCCUGGAUCAGGCCAGCGUGGGAUGGGACCCCAAAGCGGGCGGUGGAGACUGAAAAACAUCACAGUGAGGACUGUGAACACUCAGCCGCUGCAUAAUGCUGCCUGUUUAACUGUCAGGGUGCAAAUAGGAGACAGGAACUGGGUGGAUGGAAUGGAAUAGAAUGGCUAUAACCCCAAAUAUCUGCACUGUGCGCUGUGACAUUCUGUUGCAGUUCUCCAUGUGUUUUAGUAGUGCCCUGCUACAACAGCGGGGGUAGGCUCUGUUCCGUUUAAGGUACCGGGAGUCUCAACCUGGUGGCAUCUCUGGGGAAAGAGGACUAGAAAAGCCUUCCUUAGGUACCUCGGACAAGGCAGUAGGAUCACUGCGGUGCAAGACAGCUGUUUAAAUAUAUCCUAACUUAAAACACUCCCUGAGCGAAAAAAGGCAAGGAACUUGCCAAAAGUAACCAGACUCCUCGAGUAGGUUUGGCUGCUGCCAAAGGAAUAUUAUGCACACUUAUUUUUAAUAGGAAACCUGAGUCCAGAAAGGUUUGCUACAGAUCAGCCAAUCCCCUGGAGUGGACAGGGGCAGGCCUGUAACACCAAUUAAUGCCUCGGAAAGCUGGCAUUAAGCCCGUGCCAAUUAACACAGCUGCGCUUGUGUCCCUCGCUGAGCCUUCUGGAAAAUCUGCCCUCAGAGAGGCGUGGCGGAAGGGCCGUUCCCUUUGCUUUUCCGGCCAAAGUGGGUCUCAGAAAGAGAAGCAGUGUGGCCUAGGGGUUAGAGUGUUGUGGACGACGAGGUGGGAGAGACUGGGGUCCAGAUCUGACCCCAGGCUUAAAGCUCACUGGGUGACCAUGGACCGGUCACAGUCUCUCAGCCUAAUCCAUAGCAGAGCGCAGAUUUCCACACAGACUGAUUCCGAGCACAAUUCAGAGUGUUGGUGCUGACCUUUAAAGCCCUAAAAGGCCUCAGUCCAGUAUACCUGAAGGAGCGUCUCCACCCCCAUCGUUCAGCCCGGACACUGAGGUCCAGCGCCAAGGGCCUUCUGGCGGUUCCCUUGCUGAGAGACGCCAAGUUACAGGGAACCAGGCAGAGGGCCUUCUCGGUAGUGGCACCCGCCCUGUGGAACGCCCUCCCACCAGAUGUCAAAGAGAACAACAACCACCAGACUUUUAGAAGGCAUCUGAAGGCAGUCCUGUUUAGGGAAGCUUUUAAUGUUUAAUGCAUUAUGGUAUUUUAAUAUUUUGUUGGAAGCUGCCCAGAGUGGCUGGGGUAGCCCAGCCAGAUGGGCGGGGUAUAAAUAAUAAAUUAUUAUUAUUAUUAUUAUUAUUAUUGCUGGGAACCGGGGGAGGGGAGAGGGCUCUUGUGUUCGAAUCCUGCUUGCAGGCUUCCCACAGGCAUCUGAUUGGCCACUGUGAGAACAGGAUCUCUCCUGUUAAAAAAAAAGGCUCAGGGAGCAGACGGUUGGGAAGAUCCCUUGCCCCAAACCCUUGAGAGAUGCUGGCGUCUAGAGUAGGAUAUCCUACUACUCAUUCAAUGCAUCACCUUCCUAUCCUGAAUCUAGCAGCUGAGUUUGCUGACCUUGCAAUUAUGUAUAUUUUAAGGGCAGGAACGCAGGUCUUCCUAUUUGAUCUGAAAACACAAAACUGCUUUAAAAUUCCAUGAGCCCGGAGACAGGAUGUCCCCUAGCAGGGCCACAUGCAUUUUGUGAUUCUAACCAAGUGGUGGGAUUUGUUAAGAGGGCUUAGAGAUGCAGUGCUCUGAGAACUCUGCUCAACUGGCAUGCCUGUUUAUUUAACAGAUCUAUAUCCUAAUUCCUCCUGAACGUGAGCAACGAGGAGAGUCUUUUGACUAAGAAUAAUAAAAUCAUACAAUUGUAGCGUUGGAAGCUACACCCAAGGGUCAUCUAGUCCAACCCUAUGCAAUGCAGGAAUCUCAGCUAAAGUAUUCGUGGCAGAUGGCCACCCAACCUCUGCUUAAAAACCUGAAAGUAAGGAGCAAGAGAAAGCAAGCUUGCUCCCUCUUCCAUGGGGCAGCCCUUAAGAUAUUUGAAGGGGGCUAUCAUCUUCUCUCAGUCUCUUCCAGGCUAAACAUUCCCAGCUCCUUCAACCACUCCUCAUAAGGCUUGGUUUCCAGACACUUGAUAAUCUUGGUCGCCCUUGUGCUGGGCCUGGGGGUUAACCCGAGCAACGCGGUCCAGGUCCAGUCCUGAAUCCAAGGAUUCCGUGAGGAGUCAGUCCGACAGGGCCAAGGCAGGAUACAAGGCAGGAAACCAGGCUAGGUCAGGCACAGGGUCUCAGGCAGGUUCUAGCAAACAGCAAUAUUGUUCCCACAACCUGGGGUGGGGUCCAACAGCCUUUUAUCUUUGUCGGGGUAACGGCCGGUCCUGAUCCCCCAGCGACUCACCUCCCUGUCUUGCCCAAAGGUGAGCACUCCUCCUGCGAGUACUCAGGUCUCUCCUUCUCUCAGACCUGAGUCUCUGCAGCUCAGGAGAUGUCGGUGGGUUACUAGACCCAGAGGCCGCCUCAGCCUCCCCUGACCCAAGUGGUAGUGGAGCAGCUGUAAGUGAUGGCCCAGCUGGAGGCAACGAGGUCAUCCCCGCAUCUGGAGCCAGGGCAGGCUCAGGCCGCUGACUUGGCCCAGCUGGUGCUUGUUGCAGGAAAACCUGUGCAGACUGGGACUCUUCAGAAUCAGGCCCCAGACUUGGUUCAGAUGCUGCCUGAGGCAAAGGAUCCGGUGCGGACUGAAACUCCUCUGGUUCCGAGUUCGAGCCCAAGUCCCAGGUCAUCACAGCCCUUCUCUGAACGCCUUGCAGCUUGUCAACAUCCUUCUUAAAUUUUGGUGUCCAGAACUGGACACAGAACUCCAGGUGUGGUCUGAUCAAGGCAGAAUAGAGUGGUAUUAUUCCUUCCCUUGAUCUGGACACUAUACUUCCGUUGAUGCACUCUAGAAUAGCGCUAGCUUUUUUUGCUGCUGCAUCACACUGUGGACUGACGUUAAGCUUGUGGUCUACUAAGACCUCCCUAGAUCCUUUUCACAUGUACUGCUAGUAAGCCAGGUGUCCCCCAUCCUAUAUUUGUGCAUCUUGGUUCUUCCUGACUAAGUGCAGAACCUUGACAUUUGUCCCUGUUGACAUUCAUUUUGUUAGCUUGGGCCCAGUUCUCCAUUUAACAUUUUAUAUGCCGCCCUGUACCCUUAGAACAGCGUCCUCACUCCUCUCUCAUUGGCAUAUAGGAAGCCGCCUUAGACUGAGUCAGACCAUUCAUCCGUCUAGCUCAGUAUUGUCUACACCAGGGGUCAGCAAACUUUUUCAGCAGGGGGCCGGUCCACUGUCCCUCGGACCUUGUGGGGGGCUGCACUUUAUUUUUUGGGGGGAAAUAAUGAACGAAUUCCUAUGCCCCACAAAUAACCCAGAGAUGCAUUUUAAAUAAAAGGACACAUUCUACUAAUGUAAAAACACGCUGAUUCACAUACCAUCCAUAGGCUGGAUUUAGAAGGUGAUUGGGCUGGAUCCGGCCCCCAGGCCUUAGUUGGUCUACACUGACUGGCAGCAGCUCUUGGAGGCUUUGGGCAGGAGGCCAACCCCAGACCUAAGUGGAGAUGCUGAAGGCAGUAUGCAUGCAAAGCAAUUGCUAUGGCCCUUCCCUUAACAAUAAUAGUAAGAUUCCAGUCUUCACGCUUCUCGGUUUAAGUAGGGGCAAAAGAAAUUGCCUUACCCUGACGCAAACCAAUUGGUCCAUUUCGCUCAAGAUUGUCCACAAUGCCUGGAAGCAAUUUCCCAAAGAUUCAGACAAGAGAUUUUCCCAGUCCUUUCUGGAGAUAGGUAGGUAAAAAAGGGUAAAGGACCCCUGGAUUAUUAAGUCCAGUCAAAGGCGACUAUGGGGUUGCAGUGCUCAUCUCGCUUUCAGGCCGAGGGAGCCGGCGUUUGUCCGCAGACAGCUUUCCAGGUCAUGUGGCCAGCAGGACUAAACCACUUCUGGCACAACAGGACACUGUGAAACCAGAGUGCACAGAAACGCUGUUUACCUUCCCGCCACAGCGAUACCUAUUUAUCUACUUGGACUGAUGUGCUUUCGAACUGCUAGGUUGGCAGGAGCUGGGACCGAGCAACGGGAGCUCACCCCAUUGUGGGGAUUUGAACUGCCAACCUUCUGAUCGGCAAGCCCAAGAGACUCAGUGGUUUAGACCACAGCGCCACCCGCAUCCUCCCUGGAGAUAGCAUACCUGCGGGGUUGGUGUCCAGUGAAAUGCGGACAUGUUUAAGGGAGCAUGUUCAACGUAGGAAAGGCCACGCUAGUGCAAACAGGAACUGAGCAGGAAGAGCUCAGUUUUUGCUUUUGAGGGGAUAUUUACUGCAACCUUUCACAAGCCCCACAGGAAGUACUGGUGGGUGUAUUGUUGCUUACAGGUGCUGCCCAUUUUUGCAAACUUACAUCUGGCUGUUCUUUUUAUGCUGCUAUAGUUUUGGAAACCGAGCAAGCAACCAGAUUCUACGUCUUCAUCUCCGUGCAACGUCCUGUUGCUAUGGGGGCAGGGGUGGGGGGCUCAGACCACAGGAGAGGAAAACCCCUGGCCAAAAGUGGAUGAAAAAAGGUUUCACGGAUGGAUGUACAAAGCUCUGGCAAGGGUUGGGGAAUGCUAUGGAAGCAAUUAACCCAUGAACUAGCAGGAUAAAAUAGCUCCAAUAAGUGGUCCUCAUUGCGGUCAUUGUUUGGUGGUUGUGGGGAGACUUAAAAUCAGAGACUCCAAAGCAUAUGGAGAAGUGCCGUCCAGAGAAAACAGACUCCGGGGCAUCUGAUAGCUUGUUCAUGUGGUCUGGCACCUUAUCCUGUGGUUUAAACCUACAAAGAAACCACACCCUAUAUUAGAUGCCCCCCCCCCCAAUUUCUAUAUACUGUAAUCCAUAAAAUGUGGGAUGUUUGGGAUAUAUAAAUAUGCUUCCCUGAGUCUCAGCAGAGUCACCCACAGACAAACAAGCACCCGGUUAACGUUUGUAGCGGUGCUUGGAAUUGUCAUUUUACCCCCCUCCGAAAAGGGCCCAAUUCUAUUCCAGUUCAAUUCGCAAUUCAGUCAUGUGGUCCUUGGCAUCCUCCCCUUCCUCACAGCCAAAUCCUACACACUGCUCUGCUAAAGUAGAUACUUAAGAAGACAUAGGACUCAGCUAGAGUGGUAAAGAAAAAGCAACACUGAGGUCCAGCUCCGAGGGCCUUCUGGCGGUUCCAUCACUGCGAGAUGUGAGGUUACAGGGAACCAGGCAGAGGGCCUUCUCGGUAGUGGUGCCCUCCCAUCAGAUGUCAAGAAAAUAAACAACUAUCUGACUUUUAGAAGACAGCUGAAGGAAGUCCUGUGUAGGGAAGCUUUUAAUGUUUGAUGUUUUAUCGUGUUUUUAACAUUAACAACAACACGUUGUAUGUGCGAUAUAAUAUUGUGCCACCAGAAGGCGACGUGGGGUCCCAUUUUUCUCUACCUGCUUUCCCUGUUCAAAUUUACAACGCUUUAAACUGAAACACUUCUUUGAUGUGUCUGAAUCCAGCCUUAGAGGUGGUGAACUCCCCUUCCUUGGAGGUUUUUAAGCAGAGGUUGGAUGGUCAUCUGUCCUGGAUGCUUUAGCUGAGAUCCCAGCAUUGCAGGGGGUUGGACUACUAUACAGUUCUGUGAUUCCAUUACCUCCAGUGAAAGCACAUCACAUAGCAGGUCUUUGUUUAUUUUCUGACAAAUUUUUUAACCGACAUGCAUUAAUGUAACGCCAUGGUGGUGUACAGCAAUGGCGAUAAAAACAGAUGGUGUAAUUAUCAGAAGAUAAAAAAAAAAGUUCUGCGGAUUAGAUGUACCCCUUUAAAAAAAAAAGGAGAGCGUUGUGCGAGAAUUUUGCAGGCUGUUUGCCCGCCUCCCUCCCUCCAAUCAACUGUCUCAGAAAUGGCCUCGUACGAAACACAACGGUCAAAGACGUCAUGUGGAGUUUGGGAGCUCUCAAGGGGACUUGGAUUCAGUAAAGCAACAAAUGGUUUGAAUUAGAGAAAAUGUAUGCAAUCGUUUCACUGGGCCCAGAUACAAUCGCCCUCCGCUGUGGUUCAUGUUAUGCAUGGAAAGAAAGAAAGAAAGAAAGAAAGAAAGAAAGAAAGAAAGAAAGAAAGAAAGAAAUCUGCUUCUUUCCAAGAGCGGAGAAUUCCAAGCUACCCACCGAAAGGAGUAAGCAGCCAUGCUGAGCGCAAAUAUGCUUGCAAGAGGGGAAAAGAAAAGAGCAAAACAGGUCGGAAUCCUCGAAAAAAGAGAAGCCAGCAUGAUGCAGUAGACAGAAAACUGGCCUGCGCCCAGAGAGAGACGGAUUCAAAUUCCUGCUCCCAUGAUGCUCGCUGCAAGAACUUGGGGUGGUUAAGGACUCCACAACUUGAAAGUCAAUACACUAUAUGCACUUUUCUUUGUUUUUGCUUUACUUUGCUUUUUACACAAGAAAAUCUUUAAUGAAAACUAUGAAAAACACACACAGACAGGGUUGAGGAUAAUAUGUACCCUGCCCUAAAGUUCACGAAGGAAUGGCAGAAUCUGCACAUAUUAUUAUUACAGUAAGAUAAUAAUAAGGGACUCUGGUUCUGAAACGUGCACUUUUAUGUCAGGAUAAAUAUUAGUUCUUUCUCUUACAGAAUACUUUCCAGGACAGGGAAAACUAGUUGUUAUAUAUGUAAAAUGGAAGUUCUAGAGACACAAAGGCAUUGAUCCUCGGCGUGUUUACUUGGUAGUAUGCCCCAUGAUAAAAAAAAUAUAUCAAACACUGCAUUCUGGGCUGCAUCUGUUAUCAUCAUCAUUAUUAUUAUUCUUCUUUGGCGAUCCCUCGUAGCUGAGUAAGAUUGUCUUCCAUAAACACGGUUUUAACAACGAGUCCAUAAGUGACUGUGGAGGCCAAUUCUGGAUCCGCACGUCCUUCCACAGUGGGGACAUCGGUUUCCGGGUGGGAGUUGAUCACGGUGUGGAUUUGCGAAGCUUGCCUUCCUCUUAGCACGUUUCUCCCUUGCGUCCUGAGUUUGAGUGUCUUCAAAGCCCAUGACACCUUUGGUAAAGGCUGUUCUCCAACUGGAGCGCUCACAGGCCAGUGUUUCCCAGUUGUUAGUGUUUAUAAAUUUGUCUUGAGACAGUCUUUAAACCUCUUUUGUUGACCACCAACAUUACGCUUUCCAUUUUUAAGUUCGGAAUAGAGUAGUUGCUCUGGAAGACGAUCAUCAGGCAUCCACACAACAUGACCAGCAUAGCUGGAACGGAGCUUCUUGGCUGCUAGUGCAAAUUUAGCUACCUGGUGUGUAACAUACAGACGUUUAUCUGCAAGGAGUUCAACUGUUGCUCCUGUGCAGAUCGACCUGGAAGCCAAUUAAGAACUGGCAAUAUAAAUUGCCCUCUAGGCAUUGUAUACAGGAGGCAAAUCAGCAGAGAGAGUGUGAUGUCCUCUGCUUGAUUGCACCCAUGUAUACAUUUGCGUUCCGUAAGGGGAAUUCCCUGAUAUCUUCCCUCUAAAUAUGAAGAGGGCAUCCGUUGAAAUCUUAGUUCUACAAAGGCGCUGCGUUGUUGUGGGAAGGUCAGAGUCUCAAGGUAAUGGGGCCUUGAGUGAUGAGGCUUAAUUUGGGGGUGCCAAGGCGAGGAACAGGCAGCAAUGAAGGAUGCUCUGUCUUGGUUGACAUCCUGAUCAAAAAACCAAUUUCUAAAGUCACACAAGCUAAGGACUAAGUAGUUCUCCAUUUGGAAACUAUAAGCCCUAAGCCUAUCUUGGCAUUUUUGUGCCCAGCCUCCUUAGGUGCUCUAACCAGCAGAGCUUAGUAAGGGUAAGACCCUCAAAGGCAUUUAAUUUGUGCCAGUAUCUCAAAUAGGCUGGAUCAAUUCUGGCUGCUAGUGAGGGGAGGCCCAAAUUGGCUCUCAGGUAGGCUGCCGGUGUCCCACAGGGAAGGCUCAAAAUCUGCCCCACAAAUUCAUGUUGUAGGACCUCUAUUUCAGAUUUGACACCAACUCCCCAUAUCUCAGCCCCAUAGAGCAUUUGGACGAUGAUUUUAGAUAUGUCUAAAACGAUUAGAUGAUUAACUGGCUGCCCUUUGAAUGGAAGAACCUAUAUAGCUGCCCAGUAGAACAGCCAGGUAUUAGCUCAAUUGCUUCCAGAUGGGGUUUCCAUGAUAACUUCCCAUCAAUAAGUAAUCCUAGACAAUUAAUUCUGGGUACUUUCUCAAGGGUGUGACCAUCUACAGAGUCCACCUGGACUUGGUAGUCCUCUUGCCAAAUGCAGUGACCUUGGUUUUAACGUAGUUGAUUUUUAGAUGCUCUUUUUUUACACAGCUGUUCAAAUUUAACCAGCAUCCUUCUAAGUCCGAUUUUAUUAUGGGAGAACAAAACUAAGUUAUCAGCGUAGAGCAGAAUUGGCACUCUAUGAUUCCUGAGGGUGGGGGCGAAGAAGGAUGGGGAUGCCAUAUCAGGAAUGAGAUUGUUUAUAUAGUAAUUAAAUAGGAAGGGUGCCAAUAUACAUCCUUGCUUGACACCUCUGUUAACUGGAGUGCUUUGAAGGCCCAGUCUCACUUGCAUGAAAUCCCCCAAUGUAGUUGUUGGAUGAGCCAGAGAAGACUUUGAAAUAACAAUAAACCUGGAUCCUUUGGAAAGCCUUUGGCUGAAUUGAUGUUACCAUAUUUAGACUGCCGUCUGUCGUUUUCUGAGAAUGAAAUUGCUGGUAUCCUUAUGCAAUUAUACAAAUCUAUGGUGCAUUUGGAAUACUGUGUACGGUGCUGGUCACCUCACCUCCAAAAGGGCAUUGUAGAGCAGAGAAAGUUUCGGACAAGGGCAACGAAAAUGGUCAAUGGGAUGGGACAACUCCCCUGAGGGGAAAGGUUGUGGCGCUGGGGACUUUUGAGAGAAAAGGCGAGUAAGGCGAGACCACAGGAGGAGAGAGGGCUCUUGCGCUCAUGUUCUUCUUCCUGGUUUCCCACAGGCAUCUGGUUGGCCACUGUGAGAACAGGAUGCUGGACUAAGUGGGCCAUUGGCCUGAUCCUGUAGGCUGUUGUUGUUCUUGUUUAGUCGUGUCUGACUCUUCGUGACCCCAUGGACCAGAGCACGCCAGGCCCGCCUAUCUUCCACUGCCUCCCACAGUUUGGUCAAACUCAUGCUGGUAGCUUCAAGAACACUGUCCAACCAUCUCAACCUCGGUCGUCCCCUUCUCCUUGUGCCCUCCACCUUUCCCAACAUCAGGGUCUUUUCCAGGAGUCUUCUCUUCUCAUGAGGUGGCCAAAGUAUUGGAGCCUCAGCUUCAGGAUCUGUCCUUCCAGUGAGCACUCAGGGCUGAUUUCCUUAAGAAUGGAUAGGUUUGAUCUUCUUGCAGUCCAUGGGACUCUCAAGAGUCUCCUCCAGCACCAUAAUUCAAAAGCAUCCAUUCUUCGGCGAUCAGCCUUCUUUAUGGUUCUUCUUAUGUUCUUAAUAAACGGGGAGUCAGGAUCAGUUCACACUUCGGUGCAGCUACUGGGUUCUCUUUCUUUCUUUAUUGAAUUUGUAUCUCGACCUUCCUCUCAAGGAACCUGGGACUUUCUGCAAGCAAAACUGGCUGGUGGUCUAUCCCCUAAUUUGCUUAGAAGAGAUACGACACAUGAAGUCCAUUGGCACACCUCACAAAAGCAAGGCCUUCAAUUUAGGAAAGGUUAGUGGGGGGGAUCCCCGAGCAACAGAGGAUAUUUCUAAACCCACCCCCUGUGA